rnacentral:piRNA from 1 species
UUAGAAACUCAUGCAAGGAGGUGAUGCA